rnacentral:RNase_P_RNA from 1 species
CCAGUCGGCCGGGCAGUCGCGUCCCCGUGCGCAUCCUCGUGGUGCGCCGCGGGGCCGAGGAAAGUCCGGGCUCCUUCCGGCACGGUGGUGGGUAACGCCCACCCGGAGCGAUCCGCGGGACAGUGCCACAGAGAGCAGACCGCCGGCCCGUGACCUCGCGUCGCAGGGCCGGUAAGGGUGAAAGGGUGGUGUAAGAGACCACCGCGGUCCCGGUGACGGGACCGGCAGGGUAAACCCCACCGGGAGCAAGGCCAGACAGGGGACGCACGCAGGUCGCCGGACCGAGUCCCCGGGUAGGCCGCUGGAGAUCGUCGGCAACGGCGAUCCGAGAGGGAUGACUGCCGAUCACAGAACCCGGCUUACAGGCCGACUGGUCCG